rnacentral:rRNA from 1 species
UACGGAGGGUGCAAGCGUUGUCCGGAAUCACUGGGCGUAAAGGGCGCGUAGGCGGCUCAUGAAGGCUGUGGUGAAAGUCCGGGGCUCAACCUCGGAUCGGCCGUGGCGACUCGUGGGCUGGAGCACUGUAGAGGCGGGUGGAAUUCCGGGUGUAGCGGUGGAAUGCGUAGAGAUCCGGAAGAACACCGGUGGCGAAGGCGGGUCUCUGGGCAACAACUGACGCUGAGGAGCGAAAGCGUGGGGAGCGAACAGG